UCAAAAGUAGCAGUUUUAUAGUGGCCCCAAAGAUCCAUAUGUACAAUGUGAAAAUGUGCAUCAGCUCUAGAAAUACUAGGAAACAUCAAUCUAGCUUACUUUGCCAAAGGAAAAAAUUGUGCACUUAUUCAAUUGUGAACUAUUUACAUGAUUAUGCAACAACUUCAUUACUAGUGUAGAAGGGUGUCCAAGUCUGUUGUGCCAUAAGUUGCUGUCCUGUCUAUGAAUUGUUGCUAUUAUUGGGUAUUGUGUGCCCUUUUUACCAAUAUAUCCAUCCUUGUAUAUGUACAGAUCUCCUCUUUGCCUACCAAUCCCCUUCACCCUGCCAUUCCAAAUCUCCUGAAAGACACAGAAGUCAGGAAAAAAAUUGACUGAGCAUGAUAAUUUUUUGGUCAGCUUGGAUACUGACAGCAAGUUAAACAUGAAAGUAGGGACAACCAACACAUUGCUCACAGUUGUAUUGAUAAACAAGGAUGCAUAGCUAGUAUGAGUAAUAUCUGCCCUAUCCCUUGCGGGUAAAUGUACUUUACUAUUACCAGAUGUUUGUUGACUAUGAUCACAUUUUAUCAGACUUUUCUUAGAGGCUACAUGAUGAGUAGCUCCAGAAUCCACUACCCACUCAUCAUCAUUUAUUACCUUAGACAUCAUACAGAUAGCAUUACCUGCUACAUUAAUGUGG
rnacentral:lncRNA from 1 species